UACGAAGGGUGCAAGCGUUAAUCGGAAUUACUGGGCGUAAAGGGUGCGUAGGCGGUUCGUUAAGUCUGUCGUGAAAUCCCCGGGCUCAACCUGGGAAUGGCGAUGGAUACUGGCGAGCUAGAGUGUGUCAGAGGAUGGUGGAAUUCCCGGUGUAGCGGUGAAAUGCGUAGAGAUCGGGAGGAACAUCAGUGGCGAAGGCGGCCAUCUGGGGCAACACUGACGCUGAAGCACGAAAGCGUGGGGAGCAAACAGG
rnacentral:rRNA from 1 species